UGUGUAGGCGGAAAUGUAAGCGUUUUGUGAAAUCCCUCGGCUCAACCGAGGAAUUGCUUGGCGAACUACAUUUCUUGAGGCAAGUAGGGGUACACGGAACUCUUGGUGGAGCGGUGGAAUGCGUAGAUAUCAAGAGGAACGCCGGUGGAGAAGUCGGUGUACUGGGCUUGUCCUGACGCUGAGACACGAAAGCGUGGGGAGCAAACAGGAUUAGAUACCCUGGUAGUCC
rnacentral:rRNA from 1 species